rnacentral:rRNA from 1 species
GAUGAACGCUGGCGGCGUGCCUAAUACAUGCAAGUCGAGCGAACAGACGAGGAGCUUGCUCCUCUGACGUUAGCGGCGGACGGGUGAGUAACACGUGGAUAACCUACCUAUAAGACUGGGAUAACUUCGGGAAACCGGAGCUAAUACCGGAUAAUAUAUUGAACCGCAUGGUUCAAUAGUGAAAGACGGUUUUGCUGUCACUUAUAGAUGGAUCCGCGCCGCAUUAGCUAGUUGGUAAGGUAACGGCUUACCAAGGCAACGAUGCGUAGCCGACCUGAGAGGGUGAUCGGCCACACUGGAACUGAGACACGGUCCAGACUCCUACGGGAGGCAGCAGUAGGGAAUGUUCCGCAAAGGGCGAAAGCUUGACGGAGCAACGCCGCGUGAGUGAUGAAGGUCUUCGGAUCGUAAAACUCUGUUAUUAGGGAAGAACAAAUGUGUAAGUAACUAUGCACGUCUUGACGGUACCUAAUCAGAAAGCCACGGCUAACUACGUG